rnacentral:rRNA from 1 species
GACGAACGCUGGCGGCGUGCUUAACACAUGCAAGUCGAACGGUGAUGCUCCAGCUUGCUGGCGUGGAUCAGUGGCGAACGGGUGAGUAGCACGUGAGCAACCUGCCCCAGACUCUGGAAUAAGCGCUGGAAACGGCGUCUAAUACUGGAUACGAAACUGGCCCGCAUGGGCAUGGUUUGGAAAGUUUUUCGGUUUGGGAUGGGCUCGCGGCCUAUCAGCUUGUUGGUGAGGUAAUGGCUCACCAAGGCGACGACGGGUAGCCGGCCUGAGAGGGCGACCGGCCACACUGGGACUGAGACACGGCCCAGACUCCUACGGGAGGCAGCAGUGGGGAAUAUUGCACAAUGGGCGAAAGCCUGAUGCAGCGACGCCGCGUGAGGGAUGACGGCCUUCGGGUUGUAAACCUCUUUCAGCAGGGAAGAAGCGAAAGUGACGGUACCUGCAGAAGAAGCACCGGCUAACUACGUG